rnacentral:lncRNA from 1 species
GGAAAGAUAAGCCCCAUGGGAGCACCUUACCCUUUGCAGCUGGAGAAAGCGAGGAUCCUGCUGAACCUGGAAGUGAAUGCAGAGUUAUGUUGCUUUCCACCCCUGAUGGAUUCAGCUGCUCUGACCAUCUCUUGCAGUGAGGAGUGGCAGAGGCCCAUGUGGAAGGCAGACUGGAAUCAGCUUCUGCAGUUGCUGUUUUCACAACAGAUGCCAUUCCAGAUGCUGUACCCAGAUGUUCAGAG